AGUGAACGCUGGCGGCAGGCCUAACACAUGCAAGUCGAACGGCAGCACAAGAGCGCUUGCUCUCUGGGUGGCGAGUGGCGGACGGGUGAGGAAUGCAUCGGAAUCUGCCCAUUUGUGGGGGAUAACCUCGGGAAACCGGGACUAAUACCGCAUACGACCUACGGGUGAAAGCAGGGGAUCUUCGGACCUUGCGCAGAUGGAUGAGCCGAUGCCGGAUUAGCUAGUUGGAGGGGUAAAGGCCCACCAAGGCGACGAUCCGUAGCUGGUCUGAGAGGAUGAUCAGCCACACUGGGACUGAGACACGGCCCAGACUCCUACGGGAGGCAGCAGUGGGGAAUAUUGGACAAUGGGCGCAAGCCUGAUCCAGCCAUGCCGCGUGUGUGAAGAAGGCCUUCGGGUUGUAAAGCACUUUUGUUGGGAAAGAAAAGCAGCCGGUUAAUACCCGGUUGUCAUGACGGUACCCAAAGAAUAAGCACCGGCUAACUUCGUG
rnacentral:rRNA from 1 species